rnacentral:rRNA from 1 species
GUGUCAGCAGCCGCGGUAAUACGAAGGGUGCUAGCGUUGUUCGGAAUUACUGGGCGUAAAGGGCGCGUAGGCGGCUUGGCAAGUUGGAUGUGAAAGCCCAGGGCUCAACCCUGGAAUUGCAUUCAAGACUGCCUUGCUUGAAUUCGGUAGAGGUUGGUGGAAUUCCCAGUGUAGAGGUGAAAUUCGUAGAGAUUGGGAAGAACACCCGUGGCGAAGGCGGCCAACUGGACCGACAUUGACGCUGAGGCGCGAAAGCGUGGGGAUCAAACAGGAUUAGAUACCCUGGUAGUCC